GGCAUGCAAAUUCUAUGUGCUCAUAUGCAUAGUUGUCUUUGUUGUUAUUAUUAGGAGAACCAUGGCUUUCUAUAGCUUCUUAAACAGGUUCAACAUCCAAGAUGGUUAAGAACUGGUCUAAAUGGUUUCUAAACCUCUCUAAGCUUAGCUAUUCCACAGGGUUCCAUAAUUCAUCUAGCCUUUUACAACCCCUUAGAGAUUCUUUCUCCUUAGCAGGCUCUUUUGUGGGAUUCUGCUGCGAACUGUUGAGUGGACAACAAUUAUUGUCUAUUGAGAAGGAAACAUGAAUCAUAUUAUCAUUCAACCUUCCUUGGUUUACCUGGUCAGAUGAUACUGGCUAAAACACAAAUACAUUCCAGACUGAAAUACAGCAGUUUGGUCCUGCAUCAGAUCGUCUGAUGUUUGCGGAGGCUUUUGUCUCCUGCCAGAGACCUCUUUCUCUGUUCUGCUGAGCUUUCUGCAGUAAGAACUCACUUGUGCUGACCACACUAAUAUGCAGUUUGGAUUCUGAAGUCAGCCAGGUCGACCCAGGUAUGGUGUGGAGGGGAGGGAUAUUGCUGGAUGUAUUUGACUGAGGCUUCUCUGUAUUUGUUCAGGGAUCUUUUCUCCCCAAAGGAAACAUUUCUCUUAGGAUUCCCUGGCUUCACGAAUUAGAGCAUCUUAUUCACUGCCUGUGACCUUGUCAACAUGUGUCAACAGGUACCUCUACUCUGCCUCCCACUCCAGGGGUCUUGUCUUCUCCUAAGUAGAAUCUCUGGGUAGGGAUUGCUGAUUAUAUUCCAUUGUGUCCACUAGAGAGCCUGGUACCAGGCUUUGCACACAUAUGACAAGAAGAGUAAAGAAUUGGUGUAAGGAAACCAUACAAGUCAUGUUUUAGUUUAUUAGCACUGAGAUCCCUGAAAGCUAUGGCCAGUUUUAAAUUCUUGCAUCAUUUUCGAAAAUCAAUAUAAGGGUUGUCCAAUCAACUUGAAUAACAAACAGGAUCAUCCCUCUGGGAUGGCUUCCAGCUUUAAAUUUUAAGAACAGCCACAACAAAACCCUGAUAUAUUAAAACCUGGAAGCACAAAUACUACGAAUGAUAAGGUGAUUGCAUUCAUAUUCCAGGUUUUUCUGAGAAUGUAGGCAUAGGAGAAGAGGCAGGAAAAAGAAAUAGAAGGGGAGGAAGAAAUGGCAGAAACUGGAAGAAAAGAAGAGAGCAAAACAAGGGGAACAAAGAAACAAAGAGGAAUCAGAUGGAAAGUGAGUCUGUACUGUAACCAGCUACUGCUGGGUUGAAAUUCAGUGUCAUUAGCAUGCAGCUAUUUCUCACAGCAAGUACCCCCCAAAGAAGGAAAUAAACCAGCAAAUGAAAGUAACAGGAGUAUAAAUCACUUAGCCAGUACUUAUGGAGACUUUAUCCCAUAUUAGACUCCUGUAUAUAUCACAUCAGGAUUAGUGUUAAGUCUCUGAAAUGAAACAUCAAUAAGAAGACCACACGGUGCGGACUGUACCCCCAACUAAUAUUUCAGUUCAGUUUUAAUUAUCAUGUUCAUCUGGCAGCAGCAUGGUGCCUGUAAAUAGAAACGGGUCAUGAGGGGCUUGGGCUCUUGUCCUGGAAUAUCAUUACAUGACCUUGGUUGGCCAAGUUCUGUGCCUUGGUUUCCUCAUUUGUAAAAUGUAAAUGAGAAUCCUCUGCUCUGCUUAUUUCACAGAGGUGUUAGAAGGAUGAAAAGUGAAAAUACACACACACACACACACACACACACAGACACGCUUGGAUGAGUAUAAAAUGCCAGAAAAAUGUAAAAUU
ensembl:lncRNA